rnacentral:misc_RNA from 1 species
GAUGAAGAACGUAGCGAAAUGCGAUAAGUAGUGUGAAUUGCAGAAUUCAGUGAAUCAUCGAAUCUUUGAACGCACAUUGCGCCCUUUGGUAUUCCAAAGGGCAUGCCUGUUCGAGCGUCAUUUGUACCCUCAAGCUUUGCUUGGUGUUGGGCGUCUUGUCUCUAGCUUUGCUGGAGACUCGCCUUAAAGUAAUUGGCAGCCGGCCUACUGGUUUCGGAGCGCAGCACAAGUCGCACUCUCUAUCAGCAAAGGUCUAGCAUCCAUUAAGCCUUUUUUUCAACUUUUGACCUCGUAUCAGGUAGGGAUACCCGCUGAACUUAAGCAUAUCAAUAAGCGGAGGA